rnacentral:rRNA from 1 species
UACGAAGGGUGCAAGCGUUGCUCGGAAUUAUUGGGCGUAAAGGGUAGGUAGGUGGUAAUAAAAGUCUGGGGUGAAAUCCCUGAGCUCAACUCAGGACGUGCCUUGGAAACUUUAUUACUAGAGUGCUGGAGAGGUCCGCAGAAUUCCCGGUGUAGCGGUGAAAUGCGUAGAGAUCGGGAGGAACACCGGUGGCGAAGGCGGGUCUCUGGGCAAUUCCUGACGCUGAGGCGCGAAAGCGUGGGGAGCAAACGGG